GACGAACGUUGGCGGCGUGCUUAACACAUGCAAGUCGAACGGAAAGGCCCUGCUUUUGUGGGGUGCUCGAGUGGCGAACGGGUGAGUAACACGUGAGCAACCUGCCCUUGACUUUGGGAUAACUUCAGGAAACUGGGGCUAAUACCGGAUAGGAGCUCCUGCUGCAUGGUGGGGGUUGGAAAGUUUCGGCGGUUGGGGAUGGACUCGCGGCUUAUCAGCUUGUUGGUGGGGUAGUGGCUUACCAAGGCUUUGACGGGUAGCCGGCCUGAGAGGGUGACCGGCCACAUUGGGACUGAGAUACGGCCCAGACUCCUACGGGAGGCAGCAGUGGGGAAUAUUGCACAAUGGGCGGAAGCCUGAUGCAGCAACGCCGCGUGCGGGAUGACGGCCUUCGGGUUGUAAACCGCUUUCGCCUGUGACGAAGCGUGAGUGACGGUAAUGGGUAAAGAAGCACCGGCUAACUACGUGCCAGCAGCCGCGGUGAUACGUAGGGUGCGAGCGUUGUCCGGAUUUAUUGGGCGUAAAGGGCUCGUAGGUGGUUGAUCGCGUCGGAAGUGUAAUCUUGGGGCUUAACCCUGAGCGUGCUUUCGAUACGGGUUGACUUGAGGAAGGUAGGGGAGAAUGGAAUUCCUGGUGGAGCGGUGGAAUGCGCAGAUAUCAGGAGGAACACCAGUGGCGAAGGCGGUUCUCUGGGCCUUUCCUGACGCUGAGGAGCGAAAGCGUGGGGAGCGAACAGGCUUAGAUACCCUGGUAGUCCACGCUGUAAACGGUGGGUACUAGGUGUGGGGUCCAUUCCACGGGUUCCGUGCCGUAGCUAACGCUUUAAGUACCCCGCCUGGGGAGUACGGCCGCAAGGCUAAAACUCAAAGGAAUUGACGGGGCCCCGCACAAGCGGCGGAGCAUGCGGAUUAAUUCGAUGCAACGCGUAGAACCUUACCUGGGUUUGACAUGGAUCGGGAGUGCUCAGAGAUGGGUGUGCCUCUUUUGGGGUCGGUUCACAGGUGGUGCAUGCCUGUCGUCAGCUCGUGUCGUGAGAUGUUGGGUUAAGUCCCGCAACGAGCGCAACCCUUGUUCACUGUUGCCAGCACGUUAUGGUGGGGACUCAGUGGAGACCGCCGGGGUCAACUCGGAGGAAGGUGGGGAUGACGUCAAGUCCUCAUGCCCCUUAUGUCCAGGGCUUCACGCAUGCUACAAUGGCUGGUACAGAGAGUGGCGAGCCUGUGAGGGUGAGCGAAUCUCGGAAAGCCGGUCUCAGUUCGGAUUGGGGUCUGCAACUCGACCUCAUGAAGUCGGAGUCGCUAGUAAUCGCAGAUCAGCAACGCUGCGGUGAAUACGUUCCCGGGGCU
rnacentral:rRNA from 1 species